CAGGACAACUCUUCCCAUCGUCGUCUGCCCGCUCACCGCUGACCGCCCGCUCUGGCGCUCGGCCUUGGCCCCGUUUCUGCCCUCGCCCCUCAGCCGCCUCGGCGCCUGUCCGAGACCGACGUCCUCGCUCCAUCCAGUCAGUUGACCAGCUCGACUGCUCUAGCUCGUGCUCUCUGUCCCCGAUUUGAUUUCUUCCUUUCAGCCCAACCCAGCCCAAAGCCGUCAGAUCGUGACACUCCGUCCAACCCUCGGCGCCACUGAUCCCCUUCUCCGCCCUCUCUCCUCCUCGUCGUCGUUGAAGAUGAUUCCCCAGAGCCAGAGUAGCUCCCUGCAGCGCCUUCAACACGUGGAGAAGCGGAUAGUGCGGGUGCUGGAGCUUGCGGGAGCUGUGAUGGAGGAGCUGGGAUACUCUCAGGGCCCUCGCACCGAUACAGUCGGCGUGCACUGCCGCGAGUUCAUGAUGGCUAUGAAGAUGUGUUGAUGAACUUGAGAGCCAACUCUCCAAACAUGGAAGCCUUAAAAAACUCUACUUUUAUCAUCAGCAUCUUACCACGGUCUUCAGAAAUACAACGUUUGGCCCAGAAGGUCGUCCACAGCAUUGUUGUGCUUGGCUUGGAGCCGCUUGCAGUUUUCCAGAAUGUGCUUCUGCAAUUAUUCCUGAAGAGGUUAACAAAAUUGGCAGAGAUUCUAUCUCUUAUGUGGAGUCCCUUAUCAAGUCUAUCUUGGGUGGGUUGGAAGGUUUGAUAAAUAUUCUAGAUUCAGAAGGUGGAUUUGGCUCAUUAGAGAUGCAGGAAAUUCAAACGAUACUGCGUGAGGAAAUCAAAAGUGCUUGCAAAUACCGUCCAUUUGAAAAGUGUGAUUACAGCACAAGGAUUGCUAAUGAGAUAUGUUGCAAGAAGCUAGAAUGAAAAACCAUAAUCCAUUACAUUCUCAGAUUGCUGAAGUGAAAAUAGACAUCUCAGCAUCAGCUUCUGUUGCAGCAGGGAACAAAUU